rnacentral:tRNA from 1 species
GGUCACAGCUCAGUGGUAGAGCAUCUGCUUUGCAUGCAGAAGGUCCUGGGUUCAAGCCCCAGCAUCUCCA